CAGUGGGUACGGGCAGACUAGAGUGCAGUAGGGGAGACUGGAAUUCCUGGUGUAGCGGUGAAAUGCGCAGAUAUCAGGAGGAACACCGAUGGCGAAGGCAGGUCUCUGGGCUGUAACUGACGCUGAGGAGCGAAAGCAUGGGGAGCGAACAGGAUUAGAUACCCUGGUAGUCCAUGCCGUAAACGUUGGGCACUAGGUGUGGGGGACAUUCCACGUUUUCCGCGCCGUAGCUAACGCAUUAAGUGCCCCGCCUGGGGAGUACGGCCGCAAGGCUAAAACUCAAAGGAAUUGACGGGGGCCCGCACAAGCGGCGGAGCAUGCGGAUUAAUUCGAUGCAACGCGAAGAACCUUACCAAGGCUUGACAUGGACCGGACCGCCGCAGAAAUGCGGUUUCCCUUCGGGGCUGGUUUACAGGUGGUGCAUGGUUGUCGUCAGCUCGUGUCGUGAGAUGUUGGGUUAAGUCCCGCAACGAGCGCAACCCUCGUUCUAUGUUGCCAGCGCGUUAUGGCGGGGACUCAUAGGAGACUGCCGGGGUCAACUCGGAGGAAGGUGGGGACGACGUCAAAUCAUCAUGCCCCUUAUGUCUUGGGCUUCACGCAUGCUACAAUGGCCGGUACAAAGGGUUGCGAUACUGUGAGGUGGAGCUAAUCCCAAAAAGCCGGUCUCAGUUCGGAUUGAGGUCUGCAACUCGACCUCAUGAAGUCGGAGUCGCUAGUAAUCGCAGAUCAGCAACGCUGCGGUGAAUACGUUCCCGGGCCUUGUACACACCGCCCGUCAAGUCACGAAAGUUGGUAACACCCGAAGCCGGUGGCCUAACCCCUUGUGGGAGGGAGCCGUCGAAGGUGGGACC
rnacentral:rRNA from 1 species